GAACUUCAGUCAGGGACCACUGCAACAACGGAUAAGAGACCUCAGUAAAGAACUGAGCUCAACCCCAAAUAUAGCCAGAAUAAGUGGGGAUUUUGCCAAGGAGCUGACUCAGAAGUGAAGGUUGGCCAAUGGAAAAUUACUAAGAGGAGCCCAUACAGGUGGGGAAAUUCUUGUUAAUCUGACCUGACUUAACAGAAUCCUUGCUGGAGGCAAAUCAGAAUGCCCAGUGGUCAUCUGUGGGAGAUUUGAGACAGGAGAGGAAUUUGAUCAACUAUUGAGUGACCAUGAACUAUGAAUGCUUAGCCAAGAUGAUUAAUCUUGACUGCCAACUUGAGAGUAUUUAUAGUCACCAUGGAGAGUAGCUCCAGAAAAUGUAAUGAAAGGGAAGAGUUAUCUUGAAUGUAGAAGACACCAUCCUAUGGACUGGGAUCCCAAACUGCUUUAAAAAGCUGGGCCUCAGCACUUAUCUCUCUCUGCUUUCCAUCUGCAGAGGAAAUACAACCAUCUGCAGAGGAAAUACAACCAGCUGCCUCAAGCUUGUUGGUCAUAUCUUCACUGCCAUGAUGGACUAUACCCCCAAACUGUAAGAACGGAGGAUGCCAGUGAUCAGGCAGACACGGUGCUGGAGAAGUAGCUGAGAGUUCUACAUCUAGAUCCACAGGCAGCAGGAAGAGAGAGACAUUGGGACUCGCUUGAGCUCUUGGAACAUCGUAACCCACCCUCAGUGACAUACUUCCUCCAACAGGAAGUAUGAGGGACAUACUAUUCAAUGAGACAGGAAUCACCGACAUGUUCCCUGGGCCCUGAGUCAGAAGCUCAAUAAAUGCAAUGUUUUGUGAAUUACCAAGUGGGCAAUGUGGAGAAUGUUGUCACAGGGUGGCACCAUCAUUCAGAGGAAAAAUCCUCCACAGCAAUUAAACACAGCGGAAAGGAGAGUAAAUGGACACACCUGUAAUUCUACCAUCCAGAGCAAACCACACCUUCUUGGCUCUGGUCUCUCUGUUCUUCAGUGUGUUGGAGGGGUUGUUUGAGUUGUCAUAGGGUUGGAGCAGAGCCUUUGCAGCCCAAACAAGCUGCAGUCUGCACCUGAACUCAGUAGGACAAUUUAAACAGGCAAUUAAUAGUGAAGAACACAGAGUCACCCACUGUGGGCACAUUAUAAUGAGUAAUAAGUAGGAUUUAGUGAUCUCAAAUCCAUCUCUGAGGUCCUGAUGUGACGUUCCUGUUUAAACAGAGUAAAAAACAUAUGCUCAGCUAAGCAGUCCUGCUCAUCUUGACCUAUCAUUGACUUGGCUGCUGUCUCUCCUAUGAAGUGGCUCGACAGGCUGUCAGAACUGUGUGAAAUCUCUCUCAGGAAGACAUGGUUCCCCUCUGGCUAUAUGUUUUUCCUUCUCCCAACAAGAGAUUCCUAGGGAAAUUCCAGUUUCUUGGGCGGCCAUUGUUUCAGUAGUCUAAUAGCAAAAGAGAGGAUCACUAGUGACCUGUUAGAGUAUUCUCAUUGCUGCCAAGUGUGUGGUUUGAGAAUAACCUCCAGAGGCUCAUAGAUAUGAAUUUGCUUGGUCCUUGGUUGGUGGAUCAGUUUGGGAAGGAUUAGGAGGUGUGGCCUUUUAAAGGAGUUGUGUUAUUGGAGGUGGACUUUGAGGUUUCAAAAGCCCAAACCAGGCCCAAUCUCUCUCUCUCUCUCUCUCUCUCUCUCUCUCUCUCUCUCUCUCUCUCUCUCCUCUCUUCUGCCUCCAACUUGUGGGUCAGGAUGUAAGCUCAUAGCUACUGCUCCAGUGCCAUGACUGCCUGCCUCAUGCCAUGCUCACUGCCAUGAUGGUUAUGGAUUCACCCUCUGGAGCAAGUCCCCAAUUAAAUGUUUUCUUUUAUAAGAUGCCUUCGUCGUGAUGUCUUUUUCCCCCUACCAAUAAAAAAGUAACUAAGACACAAAGAUAAUGGCAAGGUGCAGUUUUUUUUUUUUACACAAAUGAAACCACAAAAUACACUGUCUGACCCCAUUGCUGAGACAUGUUGCAUUGCAUUGUGUAUGUAUGUCUCAAAUAAAGAGGUCUCUAGCCUCAAUUUAGAGUGCUCUAGGCAGGCCAUGUUCCUUUCCUUUGAAAAAGUUAAUUUAUUAUUUUUAACUUUCUCAGUUUUAUGGAUGUAUA
rnacentral:lncRNA from 1 species